GACGAACGCUGGCGGCGUGCUUAACACAUGCAAGUCGAACGGAAAGGCCUGCUUUCCCUUGUGGAUUGCGGGUACUCGAGUGGCGAACGGGCGUGUAACACGUGAGUGAUCUGCCCCCAACUUGGGUAUAAGCCGGGGACACUGGGUCUAAUGCCCGAAAGGACCGCAGGGGGGGGCCUGUGGUGGUUAACGAUUUUGUGGUGGUUGGGGAUGAGCUCGCGGUCGGUAAGCUAGUGGGUGGGGUAAUGGUCUACCAGGGGGACGAGGGGUAGCCGGCCUGGGGGAGUGGACGGCCAGAUUGGGGCUGCGACACUGCCCAGACUGAUACGGGAGGCAGCAGUGGGGAGUAUGGCGCAAUGGGGAGAAGCCUGAAGCGGGGACGCGGCGUGAGGGAUGACGCCGGUCGGGUUGUGAACUCCGAUCGGUCGCGAGGUUGCGUCCUGGUUGGAGGAGUGGUGACGGUAGUGGUAGAAGAAGCACCGGCUAACUACGUG
rnacentral:rRNA from 1 species